rnacentral:rRNA from 1 species
UACGAAGGGGGCUAGCGUUGUUCGGAUUUACUGGGCGUAAAGCGCACGUAGGCGGAUCUUUAAGUCAGAGGUGAAAUCCCAAGGCUCAACCUUGGAACUGCCUUUGAUACUGGGGAUCUUGAGUCCGGGAGAGGUGAGUGGAACUGCGAGUGUAGAGGUGAAAUUCGUAGAUAUUCGCAAGAACACCAGUGGCGAAGGCGGCUCACUGGCCCGGUACUGACGCUGAGGUGCGAAAGCGUGGGGAGCGAUCCGG